rnacentral:rRNA from 1 species
CCUACGGGUGGCAGCAGUGGGGAAUAUUGGACAAUGGGCGAAAGCCUGAUCCAGCCAUGCCGCGUGUGUGAAGAAGGCCUUCGGGUUGUAAAGCACUUUCAGUGGGGAAGAAAGCCUUGGGGCUAAUACCCUCGAGGAAGGACAUCACCCACAGAAGAAGCACCGGCUAACUCCGUGCCAGCAGCCGCGUUAAUACGGAGGGUGCGAGCGUUAAUCGGAAUUACUGGGCGUAAAGCGCGCGUAGGCGGUCUGAUAAGCCGGUUGUGAAAGCCCCGGGCUCAACCUGGGAACGGCAUCCGGAACUGUCAGGCUAGAGGGCAGGAGAGGAAGGUAAAAUUCCCGGUGUAGCGGUGAAAUGCGUAGAGAUCGGGAGGAAUACCAGUGGCGAAGGCGGCCUUCUGGACUGACACUGGCGCUGAGGUGCGAAAGCGUGGGUAGCAAACAGGAUUAGAUACCCUAGUAGUC